rnacentral:rRNA from 1 species
UACGUAGGGUGCAAGCGUUAAUCGGAAUUACUGGGCGUAAAGCGUGCGCAGGCGGUUUUGUAAGUCAGAUGUGAAAUCCCCGGGCUUAACCUGGGAACUGCGUUUGAAACUACAAGGCUAGAGUGCGGCAGAGGAGACUGGAAUUCCUGGUGUAGCAGUGAAAUGCGUAGAGAUCCGGAGGAACACCGACGGCGUAGGCAGCGCCCUGGCCGUUUCCUGACGCUGAUGCACGAAAGCUGGGGGAGCAAACAGG